GACGGCGACACGGGAACCCAAGGGCAGCUGCUGACCUCUAAAUCAACAACAUUGUGCUUUCAGACACAAGAAACACCACAGCUGAAAAUGAUUUAAUUAAUUCAACACCCUCUCUCUCAACUUUAAAAAACAUAUGCAUCCGACACAGUCACUCCAUAGCGGUACCAAUAUCAUUCCUGCUUUCUCUGUGGAGCGCGACAGGGUUUAACCACGCCCACAAUCUGUGAGAAUUGUUGAUGAACUCGUUGACUGCAGUUCUCUAUGACCUGAAGGACUUACUUGCAGAGGAGUUCUUUCUGAUGAAGAAGGGAACUUCUGGCGGAUCCAGCUGUGGCCAGUUACUUACAGCUACUUACAUAACAGCAGAUGCUGUAUCCUGCCGGAGGGCAAAGCGGCGGGUGAGCGACUGUUCCAUCUGAGACAGGAGAUGAGGAGUGCCCAGGACCUCGCCCUGGAGUUCCGGACCCUAGCCGCUGGAGCUGGGUGGAAUGAAAGGGCCCUGAUUGAUCACUACCGUUGUAGCCUGAGAGAGGACGUCCACCGGGAGCUGGCAUGUCGGGACACUACCAUCACCCUGGACCAGCUCAUCGAUAUGUCCAUCAGACUGGACAACCUGCUGGCUGCCCGUGGGCGUUCCAAUCGGGCCCUUUUCAUUCCACCUCCCAGCCCUCCUGCUCCAACGCCCAUGGAGAUAGGGGGGGCUGCAGCUAGGAAGACCGGAGGGGCAGUCUUCUCCUGCGCCCACUGUAGUCGCAAAGGGCACACUGCCGACCAGUGCUGGAGAGGCUCGCCCGGGAGUUCAGAGGGCAGUCUGAGCACCACUUUGAUGCCUCAGGCCGGUGGUAGCUGGUCCACUGCAGGACGCUGAGGUGCGGGAGAUCCCUCCGCCCCCCCCUGGACAUCGGGGGGUCCCCGGCGUACACAGUCCGGUCCAUCUUGGACUCCAGGCGUCGGGUAGGGGGCCUGCAGUACCUCGUGGACUGGGAGGGGUACGGUCCGGAGGAGAGGUGCUGGGUACCAGUGGAGGACAUCUUGGAUCCAUCACUGUUGCGGGAAUUCCACAGCCUCCAUCUGGAUUGCCCUGCGCCUCGCCCUCCGGGUCGUCCUCGAGGCCGGCGUCGGCGCGCUGCGGGAGCUGCGCAUCAGGGGAGGGGGGGUACUGUCACAACGUCCACAGAAGGUGGUGCCUCUCCCCGUUCUGGCGGCGCUCGGCGGUCGUCGUCGCCGGCCUACUAGCUGCCACCGAUCUCCUUUUCUUUUUCAUUUGGUGAUGUCUGUUUUUGUUAGCACCUGUUUUGAGUUAGUUCAUUUGUGAGGGUAUUUAGUCUGUCUGUUUUGGUUUGGGAUUGUGCGGGAUUGUUUCGUGUCAUUUUAUUGGAUGUUGGGGAUUUGAUUUUCCUCUGCCGUUUCGUAUUAGGUAUUAGGGUUUGCUGGGCUGCGUCCCGACUCGAUUUAGGGCUGUUACCUAUCGUUUGAGUUCUGUACCCUGCCUUGUUUUUUCGGCACUUUGGACUGUAUUCAUUAAAACGUGUUUUCCCACGUACCUUAGUCUCCUGCGCCUGACUGCGCCUCCUGCGCCUCCUGCGCCUGCGGGUCAACCCCUCCUGCAUGAUCGAAUCUUAUGACAUAUCCUUCCUUUAACCUGAUGUUGUGUCUCACCCACAGCUACGUAGCUUGGCGUGUAG
rnacentral:lncRNA from 1 species